rnacentral:rRNA from 1 species
UNCUCGGGGCGGACGGGUGAGUAACACGUGAGUAACCUGCCCUAGGCUUUGGGAUAACCCUCGGAAACGGGGGCUAAUACCGAAUAUUCAUGUUCGCGGCAUUGUGGGGUGUGGAAAGUUUUUCGGCCUGGGAUGGGCUCGCGGCCUAUCAGCUUGUUGGUGGGGUGAUGGCCUACCAAGGCGACGACGGGUAGCCGGCCUGAGAGGGCGACCGGCCACACUGGGACUGAGACACGGCCCAGACUCCUACGGGAGGCAGCAGUGGGGAAUAUUGCGCAAUGGGCGGAAGCCUNAUGCAGCGACGCNGCGUGAGGGAUGAAGGCCUUCGGGUUGUAAACCUCUUCCGACAGGGACGAAGCGCAAGUGACGGUACCUGGAGAAGAAGCGCCGGCCAACUACGUGCCAGCAGCCGCGGUAAUACGUAGGGCGCGAGCGUUGUCCGGAUUUAUUGGGCGUAAAGAGCUUGUAGGCGGCUNGUUGCGUNAGCUGUGAAAACCCGCAGCUUAACUGUGGGCUUGCAGCUNAUACGGGCAGGCUNNAGUUCGGUAGGGGAGACAGGAAUUCCUGGUGUAGCGGUGAAAUGCGCAGAUAUCAGGAGGAACACCGGUNGCGAAGGCGGGUCUCUGGGCCGAUACUGACGCUUAGGAGCGAAAGCGUGGGGAGCGAACAGGAUUAGAUACCCUGGUAGUCCACGCUGUAAACGUUGGGCGCUNGGUGUGGGGGGCCUCUCCGGUNCUCUGUGCCGCAGCUAACGCAUUAAGCGCCCCGCCUUGGGAGUACGGCCGCAAGGCUAAAACUCAAAGGAAUUGACGGGGGCCNGCACAAGCGGCGGAGCAUGCGGAUUAAUUCGAUGNANCGCGAAGAACCUNACCUGGGUNUGACAUGUACGGNAAUCCGGCAGAGAUGUUGGGUCUUCGUGGCCGUUGCACAGGUNGNGCAUNGCUGUCGUCAGCUCGUGUCGUGAGAUGUUGGGUUAAGUCCCGCAACGAGCGCAACCCUNNUUUGNUGUUGCCNGCGGUCCGGCCGGGGACUCAUCGAUGACUGCCGGGGUNAACUCGGAGGAAGGUGGGGAUGACGUCAAGUCAUCAUGCCCCUUAUGUCCAGGGCUUCACACAUGCUACAAUGGCCGGUACAAAGGGCUGCGAUACCGUNAGGUNGAGCGAAUCCCAAAAAGCCGGUCAUAGUUCGGAUCGGGGUCUGCACCUNGACCCCGUGAAGUAGGAGUCGCUAGUAAUCGCAGAUCAGCAAUGCUGCGGUGAAUACGUUCCCGGGCCUUGUACACACCGCCCGUNACGUCACGAAAGUCGGCAACACCCGAAGCCGGUGGCCCAACCCUNGUGGGAGGGAGCCGUCGAAGG